GGUGUGUGCGCUGAUCGUGUUCCCGGCAUGGGCCCCUCGCCGCCGCUGUUGACCCUGCUGUUGCUCCUGUCUGGUCCGCGGUUCGAGCUAGGGAAUGGGCAGACUACUAACAUGGUCCAGCUACCAGGUGGGAGAUUCCAGAUGGGAACAAAUUCACCAGAUGGCAGAGAUGGUGAAGGGCCUGCCCGAGAGGUGACAGUAAAACCCUUUGCCAUUGACAUAUUUCCUGUCACCAACAAAGAUUUCAGGGAGUUUGUCAGGGAAAAAAAGUACCGGACAGAGGCUGAGAUGUUCGGAUGGAGUUUUGUCUUUGAAGACUUUGUCUCCGAUGAGCUUAGAAACAACAUGACCCAUCAGAUGGAGUCUCUUCUCUGGUGGCUUCCAGUGGAAAGGGCGUUCUGGAGGCAGCCUGCAGGUCCUGGCUCUGGCAUCCGAGAGAGACUGGAGCUCCCAGUGGUACACGUGAGCUGGAAUGAUGCUCGUGCCUUCUGUGCUUGGCGGGGGAAACGGCUGCCCACUGAGGAAGAGUGGGAGUUUGCUGCCCGAGGGGGCUUGAAGGGUAUAGAGAUGGCACGGCGACUUCCCUUUAUUCUUCUCCCCAUCCUGUCCUGCAUGGGGAGCUUUGAAGGGUGGGAAGGGUCCAUACUCCCUAGAGCAGUGCUUCUUAAACUGUGUGGUGGAGGGCCAGUUGUUACUGUUUUCAAUUCUGAUCCAUCUCAGACCAAUACUUGUGUAAAAUGCCAAAAAAAUUAAUAACUGGAAAACUGGAAUAAAGAAACAGACAUAAAAUUUGUUAUUCUUGGAGAUUCCACCCAGGUGUGAAGGGACUCACACAAACAAUGAAGUUUUGCAAUCCUAACUGAACAAAAAGUUAGGAGAAGGAAACAGCAACUCCCCAUGUUCCACACCUCUGCUACUCUUUAAACACCAGCUAUACCAAUAGUCAAAAUUCUUGUGAUAAAUGAGGUUGCUUAUUUAUCCAAUCUAAGUCCAAUUGACAAGUUUCUGAAAUCUUACUCUCAAUUUCUGUACUUAUCUGGACAUGAUCUGGUAACAGAUAGCUUACUAGACUGGCAUUAGUCAGAACCACACCUGGGAUUCCACUGUCCUGGAGCAGAUCAGGAGACCAGGGACUCUGAAUGCAGGACAGUGAGUGGAAGGAACAGGCAUGGGAAAUAAAAGUAAGUAAUCUCUCUCUCCUUUUCUCAUCACCUCCUGACUUCCUUUUGGUUCCCUCACUCUCUCUGUCUUUCCCUCUUCCACGACCCUUCACCUCCCCCUCCCCCACUCUCUCCUUGUUCUACUGGCAGGUCAGCUUUACCCAUGGGGAAACCAGUUCCAGCCAAACCGCACCAACCUGUGGCAGGGAAAUUUCCCCAAGGGUGACAAGGCUGAGGAUGGCUUCCAUG